rnacentral:lncRNA from 1 species
UGAUCCCUUUCGUUGUAUGGUGUGCUCGUUUGGGUUGGGCGUCGGCUAAGAGUGCUCGGAGCGUGGAUUAACUCUAGUCUCCUAUCAGUUUGAGUGACAGGUGGUGGUUAUCGUAAGUGAUUGAUUAUGGAAACGUUUCAACUUCAACCCAUAACAGGUGUGUACUAACCCUCGUAAUAGCUUAGAUUAAUAUUUGCUGAGAAGCUGAAAUGCUAAAACACUGGUAUUUUGGGAACUUCUGAUUUUGCCUUUGCUUAAAGUGCGAUAGAUACGAUAUGAUCGGUGGAACAGGUAAGAGCACAAUUUUGUGCACGAUGGGCUAGAAUUAGGCCCAAUGGGCUUUCGGGCCCAUUUGGGUAAAAUUGAUAGAAAAUGGAAUUUGGAAAAGUUGCUUGAUAAGACGGUUAGUACUGUUGUAAAAUUUGGAUUAAGCAGGCAUAGUGGGCUAAAUCGGCAUUCGUAGGGCCCAUUAGAGGUUUUGGGCCCAAAAGCCCAAGUUUGAUAAAGUGGGUUAAAAAUCAUUGUUUAAACACUUAGAAAUAUUGAUAAUUGUUGAUGAACAUGGAAAACCCUAAUAUUUGGUAAAAUUAUGAAAUUACCCUUACAGUAUGAAAAUGACUGUUUUGCCCCUAGGUAAAAAUAACCAUUAUACCCCUAGGGUUUAAUUAUAAAUUUGAUACGUGGGAUAUGAUAUACAUGAUUGAUAUGAUAUGCACAUGAUAUGUAUAAAAUGCACAUGAUAUGUAUGAAAUGCACAUGAUGUAUUCAUAAAUGCAUUGGGUUGGGUUUUUAUAUGGAUGGAGGAAGUGCAAAAGGGCUUAUGCCCCAGUUUAUUGAAAAGGGCUUAUGCCCCAAUUUACCGAAAAGGGCUUAUGCCCAAGUUUAUUGAAAAGGGCUUUGCCUCAGUUUACCGAAAAGGGCUUUGCCCCAGUUAUUAAAAGAGGCAGGGCCUCCAGAUAUAUGAUAAAGAAACUAUGCUGCCAGUGGUGUGUUGGUUGGAUGGGUUGAAUCAUUCCCCACAUGGUGUGUUGGUUGGUACGGGCGGAGAGUAGCGGAUGGUGGGUCGAGUAGUCUCCCCAAAUGGGCUUGCAUACAUUCAUUGGUAUUUCAUAUGAUAUUGAAAUGGGCUUGCAUACAUCCAUUGACAUUACAUGUGAUAUUGAAAUGGGCCUAUGGGCCAUACCGUUUACAGUAAAGGCUUCGGCCUAGUGAAAUGAUUUAUGAAAAGGCUUCGGCCCAGUGAUAUGAUUUAUGAAAAGGCUUCGGCCCAGUGAUAUGAUUUAUGAAAAGGCUUCGGCCUAGUAUAUGUCAAGACUAAAUAGGGCUUUGGCCCAGAUUGUACUGAUACUGUGUUUUUAUUGUUUGUAUGUUAUUGGGAUUACACACUGAGUUUUCGUAAACUCACCCCGUUUCUAACUGUGCAGGUAAUCCCUAAGCUUAGAUGGUUUGGAGCUACGAGGGACUCGGAGAUGGCCACACUACUGUUUCUAUUUCUUUUAAUUGUAAUAAGUAGCCGAUUUAUUUCUUUAUAAGUUUUAUCUUAUUAAUAUUAUUAUUUGGUUUUGGGUUGUAAUAAG